UUUAAAGUUUUCUAGGGUUCCGUUAGUUUACCGAACAGUCUACUAAGCAGGUCCAAGAGAAAACGGCUAAGAAAUACUUAGCUACCACGGCGGGAUAAAAGCCCGGGAGCA
rnacentral:sRNA from 2 species